rnacentral:lncRNA from 1 species
CAGAAGAAGAAGCUAAGGAGCUUGAAGAUGAACGAAUGCUAUCAACAGCUACAACCACUUCCUUACCACCAAGACUCCUAUCUCUCCUAACUACCACUUUAGGUUUCCCUUGGAAGCUACCCUUCAGACCAGUUCCUAAGUGGACAAGAACCUUAAUAGCAAAACCAAACACGAGUCCAAGCAAGACAACACCUCCAACGAACUGCACGGUUGAUUUCCUGCACGUGACGACGACGCGCUUGUUGUCGUCUAGCGAGACUAGAGUUUGCAAGUCGGAGACGGCGUCUUUCCCCUUCUUCUUCCCAAGAUCCUCACCGUCAUCAUCCACAGCUUCAAGAACCUUCCAUGCCCCAUCAUUCCUCUCUUCAAGAACCUUCCAUGCCCCAUCACUCCUCUCCUCCAAAACCUUCAGCAAACCAACCAUCACCACCGUCAUCAUCAUUGCCUUACUUUCCACUCUGUCCCAAGAACUUCACCAACUACUUGCCCUGCCACGAUCCAUCAACAGCACGACAGUACAACAUUGAAAGACACUACCGGAGAGAGAGGCACUGCCCUGACUCAUCAUCCCACGAGAAGAAGCUCAGGUGUUUGGUCCCAAAGCCCUCUGGCUACAAAACGCCUUUUCCUUGGCCUGAUAGUAGAAGCUACGCUUGGUUCAAGAACGUUCCCUUCAAGAAGCUAGCUGAGUUUAAAAGACUCAGAACUGGGUUAGGCUUGAAAGAGACCGCUUUGUUUUCCCCGGAGGUGGGACUUCAUUCCCUGGUGGCGUGAAGGACUAUGUUGAUGUGAUUAUGAAGGUUUUGCCAUUAGCUUCUGGGAGUAUCAGGACUGUUCUUGAUGUUGGAUGUGGAGUGAGUUCACUUACAUGAUGAGUAGAAACCAUUACUAGAUUAUUAUUUGAUAUUUGACUGCAGUGUGUUUAUGGAUUGAUCAUUGUGUCAGGUAGCGAGUUUUGGAGCUUUUUUGCUUAACCAUAACAUCUUGACACUGUCAAUAGCACCUAGGGAUGUACACGAGGCUCAAGUUCAGUUUGCAUUAGAACGUGGACUCCCUUCUAUGCUCGGUGUUCUAAGCACUUAUAAACUGCCUUACCCAUCAAAGUCUUUUGACAUGGUCCAUUGUUCUAGGUGCCUUGUCAACUGGACUGCCUAUGGUAAUGUGUUUCUAAUAACUACGCAUCUGUGUCAGUUUAAUGUGUGUGUUUUAACCUUUUGGUCGAUUCAGAUGGGCUUUACUUGAUGGAGGUUGAUCGUGUUCUACGUCCUGGUGGAUACUGGGUGCUUUCUGGACCACCCGUAACAUCAAUGGUUAAAGCCAAGAACCAGAAGAAAGAUUUGCAGAAGGAGAUGGAAAAACUAAAUGAUGUUUUCAGAAAACUUUGUUGGGAGAAGAUUGCUGAAAGAUACCCAGUUGUCAUAUGGAGAAAGCCUUCUAAUCAUUUGCAGUGUAUAAAAAGACUAAAAGCUCUUAAGUUUCCUGGUCGCUGCUCUUCUGGUGACGACCCGAACGCUGCAUGGUGAGUUUACUUACUAAAAGUAUAUACCUUCUUCUGCAUCUUCAGAAGUUAAAGCUUGACUCAGAUAGAUCUUUUUUUUAACAAUAGGUACAAAGAGAUGGAGCCGUGCAUCACUCCUCUUCUAAAUGUUAAUGACACACACAAAAGAGUUCUUAGAAACUGGCCUGAGAGACUAAAUCACGUGCCUGGGCGACAUGGAGUGACCAUUUCGAGAUUUAAAGCUGACACUAACCUGUGGCAGAGAAUAGUUGUGUACUAUGACACUAAGUUAAAGUUUCUCAGCAAUGGAAAAUACAGAAACGUUAUGGAUAUGAAUGCUGGUUUGGGCGGUUUUGCUGCAGCAUUGAGCAAAUAUCCAAUGUGGGUGAUGAAUGUGGUACCGUUUGAUCUUAAACCGAACACACUCGGUGUUGUGUUCGACCGUGGCCUCAUUGGAACUUACAUGAACUGGUAAAAACACUCAAAAACUUGUCUGAUGUCAUCUAAUUGUGAUCUCUCUUAUACCGUCGUUUUCGGUUUCUUGUAGGUGUGAAGCUUUCUCUACGUACCCUAGAACCUAUGAUCUGAUUCAUGCCAAUGGUUUGUUCAGCUUGUACUUGGACAAGUAAGAUCUCUUUCUGUAACUUGGAACUUUGGUUUACAUUUCUUGUAAUAAAUGUGUAAUAUGGUCUAUUUUUGUUGGUUAUUGUGAUAGAUGUGACAUUGUUGAUAUACUAUUGGAGAUGCAGAUGAUUCUUAGACCCGGAGGAGCUGUUAUAAUUAGAGACGGUUUUGAUGUCCUUAUGAAAGUGAAGGCUAUAACCAAUCAAAUGAGAUGGAAUGGUACAAUGUAUUCAGAAGCAGAUAAUAGUUUUGACCAUGGAACAAUACUAAUUGUAGAUAAUUCAUUUAAAUAAAUAAAUAAAAAGCUUUUGGGGGAAUAGUCAUACUGUGAUCUUGAUCUCAAAGCUUGAUCUCUAAUACUAAUUAAGAGGCGGAUAAGUUGAACAACCUGACAUGGACUAAUGCAUGGUAGGUUUACUCUUGUUUGUAAUUUGCAUUCUCAGUUACACUGAAACCGCAAUCAAGGGCAUUUUUCAUUCUUAACAUUGUCGUUCUUUUAGUGGUAAGCAAUAAGAAUAUGUCCUAAAGCAGUUGCAAAGGUAUAAAAGUUAGAAACGCCCCAUUCUAUAAUCAGUUGAGCAUUUUGAAGAUAAAACUUGUGUGCUUGAUAUAAACCUAGCUUGCAGCGUUGUGUGUGAAAUAUGAAGCAGAGUUUAGACCAAACAUGAGCAUUGUAGUACAAGCUCUUCAACCGCUAUUGAGGUCUUCAGGAACAGCUACUGCACCUCAUAGACAAGCUUGAUCUUCUUCUUUGUGGUUCUUGCAUACUGGAUUCAUUCAUGGCUUUAGAAGCUCUUUUGAAAGAGAUGGUGAGUAGGGAAUGUAUUUGAGUUGAUGGAGAUAGGAUCUGCUGAUUCAUGGAAGACAAUUCGAAUGUACACAAAGUUAUGACAGAUCUUUUUGAUUCAUAUGAAUUAGUUUACAAUAUCAUAAUAAUACAUAAUCUUGUAGCUUUUGUUCUUCAAAGAGUAACUUCAAGACACUAUACUAGGACUAAAAAAUGUUUCUAUAACUUCUGCCAUCUGAUUUAAAAUCACUCUGUUAAGUUGAUUAGGACACAAGUGUAUGAAAAGGGUUGUUUUAAAUUGUCACUAAGAAGUUGAAAAAAAGGGCGUAGAAGAAGAAGUUUCAACUAGGAGGGAAUCAAACCAAGAGCUUCAGCAGCACUUCUCUGACUCUCUUCACUGCAACACAUUCCAACAAACGUUCUCAUCAGAGACUGUCUCUCUUCCAGCUUCAUGAGUUUCUCCAGCCCUCUUGCCACCAUUUCCAUCUCAGCCUGAUGGAUAAGUAAACAAGCAGAAGAAGUUUUAGUGAAAACAAUGAGAAAAUGAAGCAGAGACUGAAUGGUUAAAACUACAACAGAAAGAAGAAGAAAAACACAUACAGAGUACUCCUCAGGAGGAAAUAUGCGAUGAAUGAGGCAUAUUUUCGAUAGUUCUGCCACCGAUUCAGACUGUUUACCCUGUAUUUCCAGAGCCUGCAGUAACAUAGAGUUUGCACAGGACACAAAGUAUACUUCAGCGUUUGAUUCUGAUCAUAAUACCAUCUAAGUUAACCAGAAGAAGGAAUAGGAAGCUACCCAAGCUUGUAGAAACCAUGAACGUGUGCGUGCAGCAACAGCAGCAGAAACCAUCCUAGCAGCAUCUAUCUUUGCAAGCCCAAUGUUCUCAGCAAGCCCAGCGAUGAACUCCCGAGCAUCUUCACUACAAAUCUCCACAGAAGAAGAUUCCCAAGGAGCUCUAUAAAUAGUUUUCAAACAAGUUCAGCACCACACCAUAACAAAAAGGAGUAAAUUCAACUUAAUAAUUACAGGUCAAUAGAGAGUCAGACACCUGCUGCAAGCAUUUAGGACAAAAUCAACAGAUGUUCUGUAAAAGGAAUCUCGAGUGUUUGUUGGCUCAAUAGAGACUUGCACUCCAGCAAUCCUACAUACUCUACGCAGCUGUAUAUCAUUCCAUAGGAACAAACAUAAAGAGAGUAAUCUAGUUAAGUCAAGAUAGUUACACACAAUCGAGUGUGACAAAACAGAAAGGAAACAGAUACUAAACUUGAAUAAUAUCAUUUUCCGUGAUGUCUCUUCCACUGGUUCUGUUAUCCACGAUUGCUGGAAACUAAAUUGAUAAGUUACAUUUAUAGAACGAAACCACAAACACGUAAGUAAUACUAAUACCAUUGCAAAUUCAAAUCUUUCUGUCUACCUGAAACAAAACAGACAAAAGAAGUAGUCUUUCAGUAAAAGCUUGUCAUGAAAAACCAAAAGACAUGACUUUGAAAGAGUUUAAAGAAGCAACCUCGAACGAUUCUGUUGGCUUCUCUCUGAUAAUCUUCUUUGUCUACUUCCAAGCUCUGGCAAGGCAAUGAAGCAGGCCACCAUUUCGGCAAAUUGUUCUGAGCUCUAAGCUUGAGGUUUCUAGCUACAGAGUUACUUCUAGAAGCCUGACCAGAAGAAGAAGCUAAGGAGCUUGAAGAUGAACGAAUGCUAUCAACAGCUACAACCACUUCCUUACCACCAAGACUCCUAUCUCUCCUAACUACCACUUUAGGUUUCCCUUGGAAGCUACCCUUCAGACCAGUUCCUAAGUGGACAAGAACCUUAAUAGCAAAACCAAACACGAGUCCAAGCAAGACAACACCUCCAACGAACUGCACGGUUGAUUUCCUG